UACGAAGGGGGCUAGCGUUGCUCGGAAUUACUGGGCGUAAAGGCGCGUAGGCGGCACUGUUAGUCAGGCGUGAAAUUCCUGGGCUCAACCUGGGGACUGCGCUUGAUACGGCAGAGCUAGAGGAUGGAAGAGGCUCGCGGAAUUCCCAGUGUAGAGGUGAAAUUCGUAGAUAUUGGGAAGAACACCGGUGGCGAAGGCGGCGAUCUGGGAAGAUACUGACGCUGAGGUGCGGAAAGCGUGGGGAGCAAACAGG
rnacentral:rRNA from 1 species